CUUGGAGAAACCGAACACGCCUUUGGGUUUGGGGGCACGGGAAAACUUUCUAGUGCUGGGAAAUAUUCGAAUUUUGGUGGAAGUUCGGCUUUGGAGAUAUCAUAAUAUGUGCUAUAGAUCUUGAAAGUAAACCAUUGGGUACCAUAUGAUUUGCUAAGAAUGGAAAAUGGUUAGGCAUUGCAAAGCAAUUUGAUGCUGGUCUGAAGGGUCUUGGAGUUUCCCCAAAGAGAGAGCUGCACUGGCAAUUAGCAGUAUUUCCUCAUAUUUUAUUGAAACAUUUUGUUGUCCUAAUGCAGUUAUGUAUUGAAGAGAAACUUGUUCCUAUAGAUGGCUAUAAACCUCGGGCUUCCUCUCUUGACAACUGCAGCACGAUAUUGGGGCCUACUUGUUGUAAAAAGGACUGCGAAAUGAUGAUGAUGGUGGGUUUAUCAGCUUCAGGAAAAACUACUUGGGCUGAGAAAUGGGUGAAGGACCACCUGAGAACUGAGAAGUGUUAUGUUAUGCUUGGAACAAAUCUGAUCCUUGAUCAGAUGAAGGUUUUGGCUUAUUCUUUGUACUAGUACUAGUAGGGUAGAUAGACAAAUAGUUCUCUUUGCUAUGUGUAAUCUUCUUUACAGAAGCAAGAUUGUUUCAGGUUACUGGGUACUCCGUAAAAAACAACUAUGGUGAAUGAUUUGAGCGUUUGAUGGCUCAAGCAAAUGUGAUGUUUGACACCCUAUUAACCAGGCUUCCGGGAGACAUCACAAUUAUAUUAUUGAUCAAACAAAUGUUUUCAAAAGUGCUCGCAAACGCAAAUUGAGAUCAUUUGCGGAUUUUCACAAGACUGCUGUUGUGGUGUUUCUGGAACCAGAAGAGUUGAAGGUUUGCUCUGAUAAAAGAUUUAAAGAAAUGGGAAAGGAGCGAAUUAUGUAUUGCCUUUGAGCAAAGAUAUGCCUGCUUCAGAUGAGCUUUUUGAUCAGGUUGUAUUCGUUGAGCUUGACACAGGAGAGGCCUAUAGAGACAUUCGGAUCAGAUGAAGCAUGCUCAAUGCUCAGUAUCCAGUCCAAACUUACAGACCAGUCAGUCUCCUCGUUCUCACAAAAGUUCAUUUCAGGCCCUUCCUAGGCCCUCACUGACAAAUCACUCAAAUUUGUCAGUUGGUAGUGAAGACUGGCAGAGCUCUUAUCCUCCUCCCCCCCCAAUUAAACUAUGGCUACCAAAUGCCCA